rnacentral:rRNA from 1 species
CCAGAGAAUUUAGCAGAGAUGCUUAGUGCCUUCGGGAACUCUGAGACAGGUGCUGCAUGGCUGUCGUCAGCUCGUGUUGUGAAAUGUUGGGUUAAGUCCGCAACGAGCGCAACCCCUAUCCUUUGUUGCCAGCGAUUCGGUCGGGAACUCAAAGGAGACUGCCGGUGAUAAACCGGAGGAAGGUGGGGAUGACGUCAAGUCAUCAUGGCCCUUACGAGUAGGGCUACACACGUGCUACAAUGGCGCAUACAAAGAGAAGCGACCUCGCGAGAGCAAGCGGACCUCAUAAAGUGCGUCGUAGUCCGGAUUGGAGUCUGCAACUCGACUCCAUGAAGUCGGAAUCGCUAGUAAUCGUAGAUCAGAAUGCUACGGUGAAUACGUUCCCGGGCCUUGUACACACCGCCCGUCACACCAUGGGAGUGGGUUGCAAAAGAAGUAGAUAGCUUAACCUUCGGGAGGGCGUUUACCACUUUGUGAUUCAUGACUGGGGUGAAGUCGUAACAAGGUAAGCGUAGCGAG